rnacentral:rRNA from 1 species
UACGGAGGGUGCAAACGUUGCUCGGAAUCAUUGGGCGUAAAGCGCACGUAGGCGGCCUGAUAAGUCGGGUGUGAAAGCCCUGGGCUCAACCCAGGAAGUGCACUCGAAACUGUCAGGCUUGAAUAUGGAAGAGGGUCGCGGAAUUCCCGGUGUAGAGGUGAAAUUCGUAGAUAUUCGCAGGAACACCAGUGGCGAAGGCGACUUGCUGGAUCUUUGCUGACGCUGAGACGCGAAAGCGUGGGGAGCAAACAGG